CAACGAUGCCCAGCCACACUCCAGCUGAACACCGGCCACGUAGCUGCCGCACCGAGAGAGGCACACAGGAACCUCCACAGGGAGAAGUCCCCCUGGGGCCACCGUCGGAGAAACGUGAAGGGUGUUGGAACAAGCAGAGUCGGAGCGAGGAAAAUUAAACGACAACAUCUGACAAGUGGCCCAUCCCCUAUGGCUCCAGGCUGAGCCAGGCCAAAGGGACGGAGAAGAGGCCUCCCUAGCCCACCCAGGAGAGCCCCCACCUCAGGGCAGAAGGCAGGCAGCUCAGGAUGAGAGGACCAGACGCCAGAGUGAGUUCCUGUGGGGAUGAAUCCCGGGGUCUUCUCCUGGAAGCAGGGCCAGGACCAGAGGGAGGCAAGCAAGGCACAAAACAUAAAGGACACAAAUGUAAGGAAGCACCAAAAAAACCCAGUCAUCAAGAUUAUAACUAUUUCUGUGCAAUAUUU